UACGUAGGGUGCAAGCGUUAAUCGGAAUUACUGGGCGUAAAGCGUGCGUAGGCGGUUUGUUAAGUCCGCUGUGAAAGCCCUGGGCUCAACCUGGGAAUUGCAGUGGAUACUGGCAAGCUAGAGUGCGGUAGAGGAUGGUGGAAUUCCCGGUGUAGCGGUGAAAUGCGUAGAGAUCGGGAGGAACACCUGCGGCGAAGGCGGUUGCUGGGCCGACACUGACGCUGAAGCGCGAAAGCCAGGGAGCGAACGGG
rnacentral:rRNA from 1 species